AUGAGGGAUUAUCUAUGCAACAAGGUGAUCCCUGCUAUACAAGACAAAUGGCCUGACGAAGAUAUUGGAAGAACCAUCUAUAUACAGCAGGAUAAUGCCAAGCCACAUGUCCUGCCUAAUGACGUGGGUUUUCAAGAGGCUGUAGCACAAACGGAUCUUGAUAUUCGGUUGUUGCAACAACCACCCAACAGCCCCGAUAUGAACGUUUUAGACCUAUGCUUGCACAAUUCUCUUCAAUCCCUAACUGAUAGCUUAUCACCUAAAACUAUUCAGGAAUUGGUAGAAGGUGUGGAGGAACAGUUCGAGAACUAUGAGGUUCAGAAGUUGUUUAGAAGCUUCGUGACACUCCAGGCAGUUAUGAUUGAGGUUAUGAAAAAUAAAGGAGGCAAUGAGUAUACACUCCCGCAUUUGCAUAAAGAUCGCCAUCAAAAUGAAGGAAGGCCAGCAAUCUUUCUAUCUUGCGAUGCUCGGCUAGUUGCUGAGACCAAGACCCUUAUAGAGGAAGGAGAGAGAGAGGAGUGA
rnacentral:rRNA from 1 species